AGCUGACCGAUAGUGAACUAGUACCGUGAGGGAAAGAUGAAAAGUACCCCGAUGAGGGGAGUGAAACAGUACCUGAAACCGAAUGCUUACAAGCAGUGGGAGCCCCUUAUGGGGUGACCGCGUACCUCUUGCAUAAUGGGUCAGUGACUUAAUCUAUCUAGCAAGCUUAAGCCGUUAGGUGUAGGCGCAGCGAAAGCGAGUCUUAAUAGGGCGAUUGAGUUAGAUGCAUUAGACCCGAAACCGAGUGAUCUAGGCAUGUCCAGGAUGAAGGUAAGGUAACACUUACUGGAGGUCCGAACCCACACCUGUUGAAAAAGGUCGGGAUGAGGUGUGCCUAGGGG
rnacentral:rRNA from 14 species